rnacentral:rRNA from 1 species
GAUGAACGCUGGCGGCGUGCCUAAUACAUGCAAGUCGAGCGAACAGACGAGGAGCUUGCUCCUCUGACGUUAGCGGCGGACGGGUGAGUAACACGUGGAUAACCUACCUAUAAGACUGGGAUAACUUCGGGAAACCGGAGCUAAUACCGGAUAAUAUAUUGAACCGCAUGGUUCAAUAGUGAAAGACGGUUUUGCUGUCACUUAUAGAUGGAUCCGCGCCGCAUUAGCUAGUUGGUAAGGUAACGGCUUACCAAGGCGACGAUGCGUAGCCGACCUGAGAGGGUGAUCGGCCACACUGGAACUGAGACACGGUCCAGACUCCUACGGGAGGCAGCAGUAGGGAAUCUUCCGCAAUGGGCGAAAGCUUGACGGAGCAACGCCGCGUGAGUGACGAAGGUCUUCGGAUCGUAAAACUCUGUUAUUAGGGAAGAACAAAUGUGUAAGUAACUAUGCACGUCUUGACGGUACCUAAUCAGAAAGCCACGGCUAACUACGUG